ACUGCUUCUCGGCCUUUUGGCUAAGAUCAAGUGUAGUGUCUGUUUUUAUCAGUUUAAUAUCUGAUACAUCUUCUAUCCAAGGACAAUAUAUUAAAUGGAUUUUUGGAGCAGGGAGUUGGAAUAGGAGCUUGCUCGGUCCACUCCACGCAUCGACCUGGUAUUACGUACUCCCAGGAACAGUGCACCCCCA
ensembl:snRNA U2 U2 spliceosomal RNA